GACGAACGCUGGCGGCGUGCCUAAUACAUGCAAGUCGAGCGGACCUCUUCGGAGGUCAGCGGCGGACGGGUGAGUAACACGUGGGCAACCUGCCUGUAAGACUGGGAUAACUCCGGGAAACCGGAGCUAAUACCUGAUACUAUGUCAAACCGCAUGGUUUGACAUUCAAAGACGGUUUCGGCUGUCACUUACAGAUGGGCCCGCGGCGCAUUAGCUAGUUGGUGAGGUAAUGGCUCACCAAGGCGACGAUGCGUAGCCGACCUGAGAGGGUGAUCGGCCACACUGGGACUGAGACACGGCCCAGACUCCUACGGGAGGCAGCAGUAGGGAAUCUUCCGCAAUGGACGAAAGUCUGACGGAGCAACGCCGCGUGAGUGAUGAAGGUUUUCGGAUCGUAAAACUCUGUUGUCAGGGAAGAACAAGUGCCGGAGUAACUGCCGGCACCUUGACGGUACCUGACCAGAAAGCCACGGCUAACUACAUGCCAGCCGCCGCAGUAA
rnacentral:rRNA from 1 species